GAUGAACGCUAGCUACAGGCUUAACACAUGCAAGUCGAGGGACCGGCGCACGGGUGAGUAACACGUAUCCAACCUGCCCUUUACUCGGGCAUAUCCUUUCGAUAGCAAGAUUAAUACCCGAUAUAAAGGUUGGGUAUGCGUUCCAUUAGGUUGUUGCUGAGGUAACGGCUCACAAAGCCUUCGAUGGAUAGGGGUUCGGUGAGGAAGGUCCCCCACAUUGGAACAGAGGCACGAUCCAAACUCGUAGGGGAGGAAGCAGUGAGGAAUAUUGGUCAAUGGGCGCUGGUCUGAACCAGCCAAUUAGCGUGCAUGAGGAAUGCUUAGGAGUCGUAAACUUCUUGGAUAUAAGAAUAUGUAUUAUAUGAAUAAAGAUCGGCUAACGCCGUGCCAGCAGCCGCGGUAAUUC
rnacentral:rRNA from 1 species